rnacentral:rRNA from 1 species
UGGUGGGGUAACGGCCUACCAAGGCGACGAUCAGUAGCCGACCUGAGAGGGUGAUCGGCCACAUUGGAACUGAGACACGGUCCAAACUCCUACGGGAGGCAGCAGUGGGGAAUAUUGCACAAUGGGGGGAACCCUGAUGCAGCAACGCCGCGUGAAGGAAGAAGUAUUUCGGUAUGUAAACUUCUAUCGACAGGGAAGAAAGAAAUGACGGUACCUGAAUAAGAAGCACCGGCUAAAUACGUGCCAGCAGCCGCGGUAAUACGUAUGGUGCAAGCGUUAUCCGGAUUUACUGGGUGUAAAGGGUGAGUAGGCGGUUAUGCAAGUCAUAUGUGAAAUUCUGGGGCUCAACCCCAGCGCUGCAUAAGAAACUGUGUAACUAGAGUACAGGAGAGGUAAGCGGAAUUCCUAGUGUAGCGGUGAAAUGCGUAGAUAUUAGGAAGAACACCGGUGGCGAAGGCGGCUUACUGGACUGAAACUGACGCUGAGUCACGAAAGCGUGGGGAGCGAACAGGAUUAGAUACCCUGGUAGUCCACGCCGUAAACGAUGAGUGCUAGGUGUUGGGAAGAGAUUCUCGGUGCCGCAGCAAA